UUCUGACUGCAGCUCUGGAGCGGGGGCUGCCCAUCUGGUGCACCUUGCAGCACAUAAAUAGCUUGGAGUGGCAAAAUCCUGAGAGCUGCAGGGCUACAGAAAGCAACCUCUCUUUAUAUAUCAGCUUGGAACUGCUGGAAACAAUCUGUCUGCACAGGUGGUCCACUUCAGCAUUCAGCAAAUCCUUGAAGUAUGGACUCAGAUUGAGGAAGGGCUCCUCGUUGCUGAACCUGAUGUAACUGCACAGAUGGACCAGGGAGAAGAGCAAGAAGAGCCUUGGAGGAGACACACAUGGGUGAGGACCAAGUGAUGUGGUGAGGUGGGGCCCCUUCCAGAUCACCUUGAAAGCACGUAUCUGCAGGACAUGUUGGCAGCGGGCUCCAGAGGAGGAGAGGAGCAGUUUGGGGAUUGCCAUGGGAGUCAGCAUGGUUGCUCAGAGGCCCGGCAAGGUGGCUGUGAGGAGGGAAAGGAGGUUUAGCUGCCCUGCUCUGACAUCAACCCGGUGAAAAGGUGGGCGAGAAGGGCAGCAGCUUCACGGCGAGUCCCUCACGUGGAGCAUCCAACCAUCUGCUCCGAGUGCGGCAAGGGCUUCAGCCGGCGCAUCCGCUGGUCCAGCGCCAGCGCACGCACACCGGGGAGCGCUCCUUCCUGUGCAGGGCCUGCAGCAAGGCCUUCAGCCAGAGCUCCCACCUCAUCCACCACACACACACCUCUUGGGGUCUGGGUGUUGGGAUGACCCCAAGAUUGUAAAAGUCCUCAUUUCCCAGCCCAUGCAGCCAAAGAGGGAGUCAGAAUGCGUAGGAUCAGCUUCUCAAGGUUGUUUCUUUUUCCUUAUCUAUAACGUUCUUU